GAGAUUAUUUAAUUAGUAAGAAGCAUCUAGAUAGAAGGGGGAAAAGUCUUAAGUAGUUCUGCAAAGUAGAGAAUCCACGUAGGGUUGAAGUGCUGUAAGAUAGCUGGUGUUGUCAAGUUCAGACUGAAAGGCUAAUAGAAGGCAAAUUAGGUGGAAGGGGUCUUCUAUUAUAAACACACCGUGACUGUCAGUGAGAUAAUAUAAAAGUAAUUCUUAGUAUUGACAUCCUUGGUGAUAUUAAUUUCAUUGACUGUAACUUAAAUGUACAAGUUUGUACUAUUUUUCUUACUGCAGUGUGAAUUGUUGGAUAAUGUCUGUUUUCUAAUAGAUAAGACCUUUUAUGAAAGCACACCUAAAUCGAGAUAAAGACAAAGAACUUUUAAAAUUAACCCAAUACCUCAAGGAAAUAGCAAAACUAGAUGAUUUUUUGGACCUGAAUCACAAAUAUUGGGAAAGGUAUCUCUCAAAGAAGCAAGGACAGUAGUUAUAAGCUGUACUAGCAAUUAUUGAAGAUACUUGAUAUCCAGGAACAACUUCUCGCUUUUAUGCUAAAGAUCAUUAUGAUAGUGCUGGACACUGCAGCAAAUACCGACUGCUUAUACUUGGUCUUCCAGUUUUUUUGUAAAUUUAAUUUUAUAUUUUUUGAAGAUCAUAGCAAUACGCCAAAAAAGAAGAAAAAAGCUCCCCCCAUAUGAAUAUACUGUAGCUCUUAAAAAAUAUUUUAUCCAGCAUAGAGUAGUGAGUACCCCUGCCCACACACAGACACAAAGUGGCAGAAAUGUAUACUUAACAAUGUCAUUUUGUGACUUUGGAAACAAAUAUGUCUCCUGUUUUUGUCUCAAUGUGUUGUCUAAGCCCAAACCCAUCUGGAAACUACUGUUUUUCUGUUUAAAACCAAGAAAAGAAAUGUUUUUAGUAAGGAACCUAAUUUGGUUUGCUUAAAAUCACCAAGAUUUUNNNNNNNNNNNNNNNNNNNNNNNNNNNNNNNNNNNNNNNNNNNNNNNNNNNNNNNNNNNNNNNNNNNNNNNNNNNNNNNNNNNNNNNNNNNNNNNNNNNAUUUGGUUUGCUUAAAAUCACCAAGAUUUUUUUUUUUUUCAUUCCUUUGUCAUAAACACAAUUUCUCUUCUUACUCCACUACUUACAUUUCUAAAUUUUGACCUGUCUCAGUUGGGUCUGUAUGUGUGUCAGUGUUCUUUGAGUAAAACUGGAAAACGUCUGCUGUGAUACACAUACGUCAUAGUAUGACAAGUAGUAAACAUAAGACUGAGGAAUGAAAGUACAGAACUAGAGUGUGUUUCCUUGUGGUGGCCAAGUAGAAGCACUCCUGCCUCAAACCAUUGUCCGAAAAGCAGUACAUUUUCAAGUGGGAUGUAUCACUGGUUCAACCCUGAAAAGCAUGAACAAAAAGUUUUUGUUCUGUUCCAGCUCUGUCUUGUAGAAGUGCAGACACUGUGUUUCAGUGAAAAUACCUAGCCAUAAGAUGAAAAAGAAUUUAUUUGCAAUGCUUGUGCCUGCAGAUAUGUCAUGUGACCACUGUUUUGUGUUGACAGUAUUGCUUUAUACAGUUCUUCUCUUUGAAAGGAAUCAGAUUCUUUCAAAUAAACAUGGUAUAUAUUGUUCUUAUGGGGGACUAUUUCAGUGGUGUAAAUAAUAAAUUUCUUUUCUUAAGACAUUGUUUAUCUGCUCUAUAUUAUCCCAGAUAUUUUGCCUCUGUGUUGAAUCAUGAAACAAACACUAGGUUCAGGUAGGCACUUCUUGACAAAAAUUAAGUGUGUAUAGUUUUAAAAGUGUUUAUCACUAUUCAUGCAUUUGGAGUUGAUUUUAGCAACUAAUUAGAUAUGUUAGCUUACAUAUUUCUAAUAAGCACCAUGCUUUCAGAAAGAUAAACUAUUUUGGGUGGUUAUUAUAAAGAUAGAGAGUAUAGAAGCCUUUGAGAACCCUUAAUUAAAAUGAUUCAAUGAGAGCAUUUUAAUUAGGCUAAAUUUAAAUAUUUAAAGAUAGAAUAGAAUCUUUUAGAGUAUUUCUUUGGCACAUUUUCCCACUGUAAAAAGCAGCUUUUUAUUCUAAGGUAGGCAUGGAAAGGGCUUGAUCUUUUUAAGAAAGUUGAAAACUUCAAACUGUUUAUAUAGGUUGAUAAAGAGCAAACAUUUUCUAAAUCAAUGUAAACUAAAAUAUAAAACUUAGCAAAGGAAGCAAAGCAGAAUAGAAUUCAAGAAAAAAUUUUUUCUGCCAUUAGGUGGUGCCCUGAACCGAAGUUUAUUAGUGGAUAUGCUAAAUUAAACAGUCCUGAGUGAGCCUUGUCAUUGUCAGCUUAUUGGAUUCACAUGUGCUUGUGUGGUUAUACAUUCAUAGUGUAAGAAUUUUAGUUUGUCUUCAGCAUCUCAUGAUUUAUUGAACAGAUGUAUCUAUAUAUAUCUGUGUAUGUGGUGUACACAACAGAACCAAGAGAUGACUUAAUUUAGAUGCAUAUUCUAGUGAAAUAGAAAGUUAGUCUUACAUAUGCAAAUUUUCCAAACUUUCAGACAUUAGUGCCUAACAAAGUAUAUUUAAUCUAAAAACUGCAGAACAUCAUUAAAUCUUUGGUUUAUAGGGCUGUUUGAGACCUGGUAGCCCCUCAGGUCCUUUAUGAAAAUCAAGUUAUUGGGUUAAUAUUAUCUGUAGGAGUUACUCAGUUGUAUAAAGACAAUAGAUAAGCAAGUCAAAAUACUAAGGAACCACAUCUUGUUCUUCAUUCAUAGAAAGGAAGAUGGUUGUCUUGUGGGGAGGAGGUGAAGCUGUACGGGACUGGGAAAGAAGAAGAAUAUGCAAAACAACAUGCGAAAAGGCAGCUCAUUUAGGGUGUUGCUUGGUUUUUAGAUGCCAAGAAUAGUAGUAAAACAUAAAAAGUAAAUAAACUGGUUGAGGAGUUUUCUCAUCCCAAACAGAAUUUUCUCAUAGGGACAGAUUGUUAAUUUCCCCUCAAGUAUUGGUACAUCAAAAUUUAUUAAUGUUUUUAGCUGGAGUAGCAGCCCAAGUGGUGUCUCUAGAGAUUAAAUGCAUAGGUAUUUAUGUAAGGAUAUAUUAGUUUUUAGAAUUAACUUUGGAAAAAGCUGUGUGGGUCUUGCGGGAAUGCUAAGUAUAUAGCACUUAAGGAGAAAUCCUUGAUGAUUAGUUGGAUAGAUUUAUCAAAGACUGAGAAACUAAUGCACUUUAAGAAUUGGAACAGAAAUUAGUAUCAGGCAUCCUGUGGUUUACAAAAGGGAGUCAAUUACUUAAGGUCAAUGA
ensembl:lncRNA